rnacentral:rRNA from 1 species
UGGGGGAUAUUGCACAAUGGGGGAAACCCUGAUGCAGCGACGCCGCGUGAGUGAAGAAGUAUUUCGGUAUGUAAAGCUCUAUCAGCAGGAAAGAUAAUGACGGUACCUGACUAAGAAGCACCGGCUAACUACGUGCCAGCAGCCGCGGUAAUACGUAGGUGGCAAGCGUUAUCCGGAUUUACUGGGUGUAAAGGGCGCGUAGGCGGGGAUGCAAGUCAGAUGUGAAAUCUAUGGGCUCAACCCAUAAACUGCAUUUGAAACUGUAUCUCUUGAGUGUCGGAGAGGUAGAUGGAAUUCCUAGUGUAGCGGUGAAAUGCGUAGA